CAUCCUCUUUGCUGCCUACAGGCCAAUCGAUUACCUUCAAUCAGACUCUUGGCAUGUCCUCCACUUGCUCGGCACCAGCGUCACUCCACUAUCCAUUGCCAAAACUAUGACAACGUAAACUUGUGAGACCCAGCCCAGUUGAGCUCAUUUUAAACUAAAGUCGGCAGGCGUAGCCGACUUCUGUCCUUAAAUCGAAAACAAAAAAAAAAUUGGGCGCUGGGAACAGAGGAUGCGGUCAGGAUCCUCUGCCCCAUGCCUCCACCUAUCGGAUAAGGCCACGAUAACGGUGGCACCGGAGGCUGGUAAGGAGCGGCCGACAGCCGCUGGGGCCGUUCCCCCCCCCCCCCCCCCCCCCCCCGCGGGGAUAAACUGCCGGCAUUAUCAUCCGUUAUAUCGAGUUCAUCUUUCCAAAGUCUACCCUUAAAUUCCCUCUUUUCCGAUAAUUGAUCAUUGUUGAGCCUCCUUCCCUUCUUCUUCCCAGUCUCCGGUGGCCGUCGUGCCACCUCGGUCGACCGCUGCCACCCCCAAAAACCCUUCUUUUCCAUCUACAGCCUCGGAUGCUCUAUUUUGCCUCGUUCCGAGCCUUAUCGUUGCAAAGCUCACUGGAAACCACCAUAUUCGGCCGAGGGCUGCCGCCGCCACCGCCGCCGCUCGUCGAUCCUGGAUCAUGAUUGCUCGAGACAUAGAGAAGUGCACUAGAUCUUUUGAAGAUAUUCGUAAUUAUUGGAGUUCUAGUUUAGAUUAAUUCAGUUAGAACAUUUUAUUUUAUUUGAAUUAGUUAAAUAUUCUAACUUAUGUCACUUUGCAACAAUUGAUUAUGAGAAUGAUUUGUUUUAGAUUAUGAUUAAAUAAAUUUUCAAGAUUCGAAGGAUUAUUAUUGCUUU